UUUAUGUUUCGAUUUUUUAAAGUUCCGAACAUUAGGAAGGAAAGAAGGAAGUUGAAAAGAAGAUUUUUGAUGUUGCAGAUAUCUGGGAGAAGAUAUAGAUUAACUUUAUGGAACCGGUUAGAUUUGCAUAUAGUUCCGAUAUAUAUGGUUUUUGGUAUGUUCCUUUAAAGUGAUACAACAUCAAUAUUUAACAACAGAUUGGGCUGACAUUUACAGAAAAUGUUGUCGACGCAGAUAUAUAUAGUUUCAGAUAUAUAGUUUUCAAAAUCUUCUUGCAAAUGCUGUGGGCCCAUAUUUAACAACCAGUUGGGCCGAAAUAUAAAUGAGGAAAAUAUGUGAUAAAUUUAAAGUAAUCCGAAGCACAUUUAGAUAUAAUGCUAAUAUAUAUAUGUAUAUACAUACCAAACUAUUUGGUAGAAAUUAAACAAUGACUCUAUGCCCUUACAUAGAGCGGAGCACUACAUUACAUACAUUUUAUGGUUGUCAUCAGUAUGUUACUUUGAUUGUUUCAUUGAUUUUAUAUAAAUCGGAGCUGACAUGAUCUACACUUAAAAGAUCCUAGAAUAACAAAAAGAUUUUCGAAAAGAA